GAUGGACGCUGGCGGCGUGCCUAAUACAUGCAAGUCGAGCGAACAGACGAGGAGCUUGCUCCUCUGACGUUAGCGGCGGACGGGUGAGUAACACGUGGAUAACCUACCUAUAAGACUGGGAUAACUUCGGGAAACCGGAGCUAAUACCGGAUAAUAUAUUGAACCGCAUGGUUCAAUAGUGAAAGACGGUUUUGCUGUCACUUAUAGAUGGAUCCGCGCCGCAUUAGCUAGUUGGUAAGGUAACGGCUUACCAAGGCAACGAUGCGUAGCCGACCUGAGAGGGUGGUCGGCCACACUGGAACUGAGACACGGUCCAGACUCCUACGGGAGGCAGCAGUAGGGAAUCUUCCGCAAUGGGCGAAAGCUUGACGGAGCAACGCCGCGUGAGUGAUGAAGGUCUUCGGAUCGUAAAACUCUGUUAUUAGGGAAGAACAAAUGUGUAAGUAACUAUGCACGUCUUGACGGUACCUAAUCAGAAAGCCACGGCUAACUACGUG
rnacentral:rRNA from 1 species